UAGGGUGAGGAGCUGACCUCUUCAAUGCAGUAAGGAGUGGAACAAGGUUGGAGCUGCUUUUCAACAUUUAUUUCACUUCUAGUUUCAAGUGCUUUAAGGGGAGAAUCAAGUGUCUCUCUCCUCAAGGGGUUGGGAGAUGCCAUCACAUGGGAACUGAUGCCUGGAGCUGUAGCAGCCGUCUGUAACCACACGUGAGCCAAAGGACAAGGUUGACAUCCUAAGCAAAGGCUGAAAGUGCCUGGAUUCUUUGCUGACAUCACAGAGCCAGACUGUUGUGGUGGGAAGAAGAAGAGUCCCC